rnacentral:rRNA from 1 species
GGGGAAUAUUGCGCAAUGGGGGGAACCCUGACGCAGCCAUGCCGCGUGAAUGAAGAAGGCCUUCGGGUUGUAAAGUUCUUUCGGUAUUGAGGAAGGUUGAUGUGUUAAUAGCACAUCAAAUUGACGUUAAAUACAGAAGAAGCACCGGCUAACUCCGUGCCAGCAGCCGCGGUAAUACGGAGGGUGCGAGCGUUAAUCGGAAUAACUGGGCGUAAAGGGCACGCAGGCGGUUAUUUAAGUGGGGUGUGAAAGCCCCGGGCUUAACCUGGGAAUUGCAUUUCAGACUGGGUAACUAGAGUACUUUAGGGAGGGGUAGAAUUCCACGUGUAGCGGUGAAAUGCGUAGAGAUGUGGAGGAAUACCGAAGGCGAAGGCAGCCCCUUGGGAAUGUACUGACGCUCAUGUGCGAAAGCGUGGGGAGCAAACAGGAUUAGAUACCCUGGUAGUCCACGCUGUAAACGCUGUCGAUUUGGGGGUUGGGGUUUAACUCUGGCGCCCGUAGCUAACGUGAUAAAUCGACCGCCUGGGGAGUACGGCCGCAAGGUUA